rnacentral:rRNA from 1 species
GAUGAACGCUGGCGGCGUGCCUAAUACAUGCAAGUCGAGCGUACAGACGAGGAGCUUUCUCCUCUGACGUUAUCGGCGGACGGGUGAGUAACACGUGGAUAACCUACCUAUAAGACUGGGAUAACUUCGGGAAACCGUAUCUAAUACCGGAUAAUAUAUUGAACCUCAUUGUUCACUAGUUAAAUACGGUUUUUCUUUCACUUAUAGCUUGAUCCGCGCCGCAUUAGCUAGUUGGUUAGGUAACGGCUUACCAAGGCUACGAUGCGUAGCCGACCUGAGAGGGAGAUCGGACACACUGGAACUGAGAAACGGUAGAGACACCGACGGGAGGAAGCAGUAGGGAAUCUUCCGCAAUGGGCGAAAGCCUGACGGAGCAACGCCGCGGGAGUGAUGAAGGACUAAGGAUCGGAAAGCUCUGAAAGUAGGGAAGAAGAAAUGUGUAAGUAACUAUGAACGUCAUGACGGUACCUAAACAAAAAGCCACGGCUAACUACGUG